rnacentral:rRNA from 1 species
CUGCGGAAGGAUCAUUACCGAAUUGUCAACACGAGUUGUUGCUGGUCUUCAAACGAGGACAUGUGCACGCUCUGUUUGCACAUCCACUCACACCUGUGCACCCUCCGUAGUUCUACAGCCCUGGGGGCUCUGUCCCCCAUGCCGUGGUUCUACGUAUUUACACACACACACGCUGUAAUGAAGUCUCGUGGAAUGUAUGCCGCGUUUAACGCAAUACAAUACAACUUUCAGCAACGGAUCUCUUGGCUCUCGCAUCGAUGAAGAACGCAGCGAAAUGCGAUAAGUAAUGUGAAUUGCAGAAUUCAGUGAAUCAUCGAAUCUUUGAACGCACCUUGCGCCCUUUGGCUGUUCCGAAGGGCAUGCCUGUUUGAGUAUCAUGAACACCUCAACUCUCAUGGCUUGCCAUGAUGAGCUUGGACUUUGGGGGUCUUGCUGGCCUAUGGUUGGCUCCUCUCAAACGAAUCAGCUUGCCAGUGUUUGGUGGCAUCACAGGUGUGAUAAAUAUCUACGCUUGUGGUUUUCUGCCAGGUAACCUUCAGGUGGAUGGAGGUUCGCUGGGGCUCAUAAACGUCUCUCCUCAGUGAGGACAGCUCUUUGAACGUUUGAUCUCAAAUCAAGUAGGACUACCCGCUGAACUUAAGCAUAU